GAGAAUGCCGGUGUGAGUAGCGAAAGACGGGUGAGAAUCCCGUCCACCGAUUGACUAAGGUUUCCAGAGGAAGGCUCGUCCGCUCUGGGUUAGUCGGGUCCUAAGCUGAGGCCGACAGGCGUAGGCGAUGGAUAACAGGUUGAUAUUCCUGUACCACCUAUAAUCGUUUUAAUCGAUGGGGGGACGCAGUAGGAUAGGCGAAGCGUGCGAUUGGAUUGCACGUCUAAGCAGUAAGGCUGAGUAUUAGGCAAAUCCGGUACUCGUUAAGGCUGAGCUGUGAUGGGGAGAAGACAUUGUGUCUUCGAGUCGUUGAUUUCACACUGCCGAGAAAAGCCUCUAGAUAGAAAAUAGGUGCCCGUACCGCAAACCGACACAGGUAGUCAAGAUGAGAAUUCUAAGGUGAGCGAGCGAACUCUCGUUAAGGAACUCGGCAAAAUGACCCCGUAACUUCGGGAGAAGGGGUGCUCUUUAGGGUUAACGCCCAGAAGAGCCGCAGUGAAUAGGCCCAAGCGACUGUUUAUCAAAAACACAGGUCUCUGCUAAACCGUAAGGUGAUGUAUAGGGGCUGACGCCUGCCCGGUGCUGGAAGGUUAAGAGGAGUGGUUAGCUUCUGCGAAGCUACGAAUCGAAGCCCCAGUAAACGGCGGCCGUAACUAUAACGGUCCUAAGGUAGCGAAAUUCCUUGUCGGGUAAGUUCCGACCCGCACGAAAGGCGUAACGAUUUGGGCACUGUCUCAACGAGAGACUCGGUGAAAUCAUAGUACCUGUGAAGAUGCAGGUUACCCGCGACAGGACGGAAAGACCCCGUGGAGCUUUACUGUAGCCUGAUAUUGAAAUUCGGCACAGCUUGUACAGGAUAGGUAGGAGCCUUUGAAACGUGAGCGCUAGCUUACGUGGAGGCGCUGGUGGGAUACUACCCUAGCUGUGUUGGCUUUCUAACCCGCACCACUUAUCGUGGUGGGAGACAGUGUCAGGCGGGCAGUUUGACUGGGGCGGUCGCCUCCUAAAAGGUAACGGAGGCGCUCAAAGGUUCCCUCAGAAUGGUUGGAAAUCAUUCAUAGAGUGUAAAGGCAUAAGGGAGCUUGACUGCGAGACCUACAAGUCGAGCAGGGUCGAAAGACGGACUUAGUGAUCCGGUGGUUCCGCAUGGAAGGGCCAUCGCUCAACGGAUAAAAGCUACCCCGGGGAUAACAGGCUUAUCUCCCCCAAGAGUUCACAUCGACGGGGAGGUUUGGCACCUCGAUGUCGGCUCAUCGCAUCCUGGGGCUGUAGUCGGUCCCAAGGGUUGGGCUGUUCGCCCAUUAAAGCGGUACGCGAGCUGGGUUCAGAACGUCGUGAGACAGUUCGGUCCCUAUCCGUCGUGGGCGUAGGAAAUUUGAGAGGAGCUGUCCUUAGUACGAGAGGACCGGGAUGGACAUACCUCUGGUGUACCAGUUGUCGUGCCAACGGCAUAGCUGGGUAGCUAUGUGUGGACGGGAUAAGUGCUGAAAGCAUCUAAGCAUGAAG
rnacentral:rRNA from 1 species